ACGGCGAGUGAACAGGGAAGAGCCCAGCACCGAAGCCUGUGGCCAUUUGGUCUCUAGGCAAUGUGGUGUUUAGGUCAGCUCGCGGAGACACUGUCCCACUCUAAGUCCAGCAAUGAGACUGGUAUCUGGACAUGGCCCAAAGAGGGUGAAAGGCCCGUGAGGGUGGGAACUCAGACAUGCCAGUGUCUCCCUGAGUAGACCUUGGAGUCGGGUUGUUUGUGAAUGCAGCCCAAAGUGGGUGGUAAACUCCAUCCAAGGCUAAAUACUAACACGAGUCCGAUAGCGAACAAGUACCGUGAGGGAAAGUUGAAAAGUACUUUGAAGAGAGAGUAAACAGUGCGUGAAACCGCUCAGAGGUAAACGGGUGGAGUUGAACUGCAAAGCUCCGAGAAUUUAACUGGUGAGUGUGGUAUACACUUGGAUAUAUUGGUUGGCCCUCAAAGUCUGCAGAAAACUGUGGAGGCUGUGCUAACGCGCGGCGUGCGUUGAAGCGCUUAUCAAGCGCUGUGCUCUUUGGGGGUACUUCGAACCUGCUUGCCAGUGCAUUUUCUCAGAGUGAUCACCACGACCGGCGCUGCUGUCUGUCUGCUGUGGUUAAACCGGGUGUGUAUCGUCCUUGUGGCUUUGCAUACUCGGGAUGGCAGGUAACCCGAUUGUGCUUGUCGCGAUUGGGUGUAAUCAGCUGACCAUAGUAGUACUGUACAGUGCGUCGGAGACGGCGGCUUGUGGUGCGUACAUGCGUGCAUGUUGAGUGGCGGCUUUGGGUCUGGUUAUACUGUAGCCUGUAAAAACAGGCCCUGUAAUGGCCCAGGGUUGUUCACUUGAUGGUUGCGUAUGGGGCACYUUAAUGGGCCUACAGUCUGUGG
rnacentral:rRNA from 1 species